GAUGAACGCUGGCGGCGGGCCUAAUACAUGCAAGUCGAGCGAACAGACGAGGAGCUUGCUCCUCUGACGUUAGCGGCGGACGGGUGAGUAACACGUGGAUAACCUACCUAUAAGACUGGGAUAACUUCGGGAAACCGGAGCUAAUACCGGAUAAUAUAUUGAACCGCAUGGUUCAAUAGUGAAAGACGGUUUUGCUGUCACUUAUAGAUGGAUCCGCGCCGCAUUAGCUAGUUGGUAAGGUAACGGCUUACCAAGGCAACGAUGCGUAGCCGACCUGAGAGGGUGAUCGGCCACACUGGAACUGAGACACGGUCCAGACUCCUACGGGAGGCAGCAGUAGGGAAUCUUCCGCAAAGGGCGAAAGCCUGACGGAGCAACGCCGCGUGAGUGAUGAAGGUCUUCGGAUCGUAAAACUCUGUUAUUAGGGAAGAACAAAUGUGUAAGUAACUAUGCACGUCUUGACGGUACCUAAUCAGAAAGCCACGGCUAACUACGUG
rnacentral:rRNA from 1 species